rnacentral:rRNA from 1 species
GACGAAGGGGGCUAGCGUUGUUCGGAAUUACUGGGCGUAAAGCGCGUGUAGGCGGUUAUCCAAGUCGGGUGUGAAAGCCUUGAGCUCAACUCAAGAAAUGCACUCGGUACUGGGUGACUAGAGGACCGGAGAGGAUAGUGGAAUUCCCAGUGUAGUGGUGAAAUACGUAGAGAUUGGGAAGAACACCAGUGGCGAAGGCGGCUAUCUGGACGGUUUCUGACGCUAAGACGCGAAAGCGUGGGAGCAACAGG